rnacentral:rRNA from 1 species
UACGGGGGGUGCGAGCGUUGUCCGGAAUCACUGGGCGUAAAGGGCGCGUAGGUGGCGCGGGCAGUCAACGGUGAAAGUUCGGGGCUCAACCCUGAAUCGGCCGUCGAUACUCCCGUGCUGGAGCACUGUAGAGGCUAAUGGAAUUCCGGGUGUAGCGGUGGAAUGCGUAGAGAUCCGGAAGAACACCGGUGGCGAAGGCGGUUAGCUGGGCAGUUGCUGGACACUGAGGCGCGACAGCGUGGGGAGCAAACAGGG